rnacentral:sRNA from 2 species
AUAUUAUAAUCGCUGAGUUACGGCAUUUUGCCGUAAGCGGGGGAACCAUAAAUUGGGGUGAAUCCUGAAUAUUCAGGUAGGGUUAGUCUCGACCAAUCCGAAUCCGUCAGCUAACUUCGUAAGCGUUGGGGAGAAAGUGA